rnacentral:rRNA from 1 species
CAGUCGCCGCGGUAAUACGGAGGGGGCUAGCGUUGUUCGGAAUUACUGGGCGUAAAGCGCACGUAGGCGGAUAUUUAAGUCAGGGGUGAAAUCCCAGAGCUCAACUCUGGAACUGCCUUUGAUACUGGGUAUCUUGAGUAUGGAAGAGGUGAGUGGAAUUCCGAGUGUAGAGGUGAAAUUCGUAGAUAUUCGGAGGAACACCAGUGGCGAAGGCGGCUCACUGGUCCAUUACUGACGCUGAGGUGCGAAAGCGUGGGGAGCAAACAGGAUUAGAUACCCCAGUAGUCCCUGUCUCUUAUAC